rnacentral:tRNA from 1 species
ACCAGGGUGGCUCAAUCGUUAAGCAUCUGACUUUGGCUCAGGUCAUGAUCUCACAGUUUGUGAGUUCAAGUCCCACAUCGGGUG